UACGUAGGUGGCAAGCGUUAUCCGGAUUUAUUGGGCGUAAAGAGAACGUAGGCGGUCUUUUAAGUCUGAUGUGAAAGCCUUCGGCUUAACCGGAGUAGUGCAUUGGAAACUGGGAGACUUGAGUGCAGAAGAGGAGAGUGGAACUCCAUGUGUAGCGGUGAAAUGCGUAGAUAUAUGGAAGAACACCAGUGGCGAAAGCGGCUCUCUGGUCUGUAACUGACGCUGAGGUUCGAAAGCGUGGGUAGCAAACAGG
rnacentral:rRNA from 1 species